rnacentral:misc_RNA from 1 species
UACGUAGGGGGCAAGCGUUGUCCGGAAUUAUUGGGCGUAAAGCGCGCGCAGGCGGUCCUUUAAGUCUGAUGUGAAAUCUUGCGGCUUAACCGCAAGCGGUCAUUGGAAACUGGAGGGCUUGAGUACAGAAGAGGAGAGCGGAAUUCCACGUGUAGCGGUGAAAUGCGUAGAUAUGUGGAGGAACACCAGUGGCGAAGGCGACUCUUUGGCCUGCAACUGACGCUGAGGUGCGAAAGCGUGGGGAUCAAACAGG